AAUAUUACCAACUUAAUGAGUAUAAUUGGAACAAUACAGAGAAGAUUAGCAUGGUCCCUGCUUAAGGAUGACACGCAUAUAUAAAUCGAGAAAUGGUCAAUGAGUAU